CUAUACAUGCAAGUCGAGCGGACAGAAGGGAGCUUGCUCCCGGAUGUUAGCGGCGGACGGGUGAGUAACACGUGGGUAACCUGCCUGUAAGACUGGGAUAACUCCGGGAAACCGGAGCUAAUACCGGAUAGUUCCUUGAACCGCAUGGUUCAAGGAUGAAAGACGGUUUCGGCUGUCACUUACAGAUGGACCCGCGGCGCAUUAGCUAGUUGGUGAGGUAACGGCUCACCAAGGCGACGAUGCGUAGCCGACCUGAGAGGGUGAUCGGCCACACUGGGACUGAGACACGGCCCAGACUCCUACGGGAGGCAGCAGUAGGGAAUCUUCCGCAAUGGACGAAAGUCUGACGGAGCAACGCCGCGUGAGUGAUGAAGGUUUUCGGAUCGUAAAGCUCUGUUGUUAGGGAAGAACAAGUGCAAGAGUAACUGCUUGCACCUUGACGGUACCUAACCAGAAAGCCACGGCUAACUACGUGCCAGCAGCCGCGGUAAUACGUAGGUGGCAAGCGUUGUCCGGAAUUAUUGGGCGUAAAGGGCUCGCAGGCGGUUUCUUAAGUCUGAUGUGAAAGCCCCCGGCUCAACCGGGGAGGGUCAUUGGAAACUGGGAAACUUGAGUGCAGAAGAGGAGAGUGGAAUUCCACGUGUAGCGGUGAAAUGCGUAGAGAUGUGGAGGAACACCAGUGGCGAAGGCGACUCUCUGGUCUGUAACUGACGCUGAGGAGCGAAAGCGUGGGGAGCGAACAGGAUUAGAUACCCUGGUAGUCCACGCCGUAAACGAUGAGUGCUAAGUGUUAGGGGGUUUCCGCCCCUUAGUGCUGCAGCUAACGCAUUAAGCACUCCGCCUGGGGAGUACGGUCGCAAGACUGAAACUCAAAGGAAUUGACGGGGGCCCGCACAAGCGGUGGAGCAUGUGGUUUAAUUCGAAGCAACGCGAAGAACCUUACCAGGUCUUGACAUCCUCUGACAACCCUAGAGAUAGGGCUUUCCCUUCGGGGACAGAGUGACAGGUGGUGCAUGGUUGUCGUCAGCUCGUGUCGUGAGAUGUUGGGUUAAGUCCCGCAACGAGCGCAACCCUUGAUCUUAGUUGCCAGCAUUCAGUUGGGCACUCUAAGGUGACUGCCGGUGACAAACCGGAGGAAGGUGGGGAUGACGUCAAAUCAUCAUGCCCCUUAUGACCUGGGCUACACACGUGCUACAAUGGACAGAACAAAGGGCUGCGAGACCGCAAGGUUUAGCCAAUCCCACAAAUCUGUUCUCAGUUCGGAUCGCAGUCUGCAACUCGACUGCGUGAAGCUGGAAUCGCUAGUAAUCGCGGAUCAGCAU
rnacentral:rRNA from 1 species